CUUCAACUUAUUUAAGUUACUGAGCAGCUCGUCAACUUACUUCCUGCAUUUGGAAUUGAAUCUGGAAGAGAAUUGGACCCCAGACGUCUUGAAUAGGCCAAUUUAACUGAAUUAUUUGAACUGAAUGGGAAGAAGGCCAGAAACAGGAAAACCAAUGAGGAGGUUACCGGAAAAAUCCAGAUACGACAAAAUGGAUAUUCUGGUUAUUGAUAAUGGCAGUGAAGUGACAGAGUUCAUUCUGGUGGGUUUGUCCAACCAUCCAAAAUAUCAGAUUGUCUUUUACUGCACCAUGAUAGUGGUCUACCUGAUCACAUUGGAUCAACUCUGCAGAGGCCAGACUCAAAGCUUUCUCCACCUGUGGAUCCCAUCUGACUGUGAUCAUCAUAUUUUAUGGGACAGCCACCUACAUGUACUUGACACCUCAGUCAAAAGAAUCCCAAGACGAGGGGAGAAGUCAGACAAGACUUUAGAGAGAAAUAUGUUACAUCUGGAAGUGGAGAACAAGCUACAAGAAGGUUUCCAACAUGAAGUCAAGACUCUAGAUGAGUAGAAAGUGUAAGAAAUUAGAAGAGCAACUGAUCAGUUAGAGUUACAUUUGUUAGGUGCCUCUAUAUUAAAUGUUUACUGUGAAAUUUGCCUUCUUCAAAUCUUUCUUGUAUUACUGAAUCAACAAGUCUGAGUCAUAAUAAACAAGUAAUACUUUGGAACUACCCUAGACCU
rnacentral:lncRNA from 13 species